rfam:Nicotiana sylvestris Nsyl_contig130516, whole genome shotgun sequence.
GGAUGUGAAGUCCAGCCAAGGAUGACUUGCCGCUAAGCUAAUCCCUUUCUGUUCAAUUACCAUUUCGAAAAAAGAAGAAUGAGAUUAUAUUUUUCUAUCUUUGUUCUAUAGAAAAAGAAAAUGUGACUUGUGUAUAUUAUAUAUGAAAAUCGGCAAGUUGUCUUUGGCUAGGUUUCUUUCUCA